rnacentral:lncRNA from 1 species
GCGGUGUGAUUAGUUGGCGUUUCGCGGCGGACGCCGAUUAGCCCGCGCGCUUGUCCGCCAGUCCCACAAGCUGCCUAGACGUUGGAGGGGCUAGAUGGUGCUUGGUCUGAAGAUGUUGAAAAACGUAAAGCCUGAGCCGAACCCCGAGUUUCAGCAACCUGGAGCUCGAGGACUGUAACCUGGGGAGGUCACAGGGUGGCCGCGAUGGCUUUAGAAUCCGGCUUUCUUGUUCCCAAGCAAACGCUUUGCCAUGUCAUCACCUGCCACCCCUCACUUGUAAAUCCAGAUUUGUUGAAAGCAGCAAGUCCAAAGAUCAAAAAGUUCAUCAAACCCCAGGCAGGGAGUUCCCGUCAUGGCACAGUUUAGGAACCAUGAGGUUGCGGGUUCGGUCCCUGCCCUUGCUCAGUGGCUCACGGCAAUGCCAGAUCCUUAACCCCCUGAGCAAGGCCAGAGAUCGAACCUGCAACCUCAUGCUUCCUAGUUGGAUUCGUUAACCACUGAGCCAUGAUGGGAACUCUUCUUUUUUUUUUAUGGUUUUCAAUAGAUAGAUGCAAAUAGGUUGAUAGAUGGUUAAGUAUAGGCAGGUAGGUAGGUAGGUAGAAUUAGGAAUGAAUGUAAAUGCAAAUGAAGUAUAUCCUCAAAAAGGGCCUGGGAGGAGUUCCCGCUGUGACAUAACGGGCUGAGUGGCUUCUUGAGAGCCCUGGGACACAGGUUCAAUCCCUGACUGGGCACAGUGGUUAAGGAUCUGGCUUUGCCGCAACUUUGGUUUGGAUCACUCGCAUCUGACCCCUGGCCCAGGAACUCCAUAUGCUGCGGGGUGGCCAAAAAAGGAAAGGAAAAAACCGGGGGUAGGGGGCCAGGACAGUGACACUUCAAGGAUAAACAUACUUAGUCUCGAGAUCUUGCUUCUAAAUAAUACUCUCCACUUCUUGGAGAAAUGGCUGAUUACAGGCUUGGGGCCUGGAAGAAUACAUGAUGAGUCUGGAACUUGUGCCAGAAACAGGGAAGUGCUCAGAAAACAGCAGUCACAUGUCAAAGGGCAAGAGCCAGCUUAAAGAGGCUCCAGUAGCUAAAUCGGAGCUGCAAAAUAAAUAAUGAUAUUAACACGCUAUAAUCCAUUGAAUAAAAUAUGACAUCAUUAAUGUAUAUUGAUUUUUAAAAGCAAUGAAUAAAUUUAAAGUUUGAUGAAAAUAGAAUAUUUAUAGUUUCAAAAUAUUUAUCAUAAAAAUAUUGAUUAAUUACAAAAGAAAAAAGAGUAACUUGAUACAUCAUGUCAAUAACUCCACUCAAACAAUUCUGGAAAAAGAUUCUUUGUACCGCUGGCAACAAUUCUGAGAGAAAGAAAUACCUGAGUCAUAAUUACAAUUGGAGAGUUCACGACUUACCUCUCAGUGAUUGACUGAACAGAUAAUUGUUCUCUAUUCUCACUGUGAUGUUGGUUAUGUGACUCUGCAUAUUUGCUGAAGUUCAUACAACAGUAUUGCAAAAAACUAACUGAACUGGGAGUUCCUGUCGUGGCGCAGCGGAGAACCAUGAGGUUGCGGGUUCCACCCCUGGCCUCACUCCGUGGUGGGGGAUCUGGCGUUGCCAUGAGCUGUGGUGUAGGUUGAAGACGCGGCUCAGAUCCCCAGUUGCUGUGGCUGUGGCGUGGGCUGGCGGCUACAGCUCCAGUUGGACCCCUAGCCUGGGAACCUCCAUAUUGCUGCAGGUGUGGCCCUAAAAAGACAAAAAGACACACACACACACACACACACACACACAGAGGCAGAAAAGAAAACAGGACAUUUCUACAGAUUUUACAUAAAUAAAAAGGAUUAUAAGAGGAUGCUAUGUUUUUCACAAAGAUGGCAUUGAAAGCAAAGAAGGAAGCCCCUGCCCCUUCCAAAGCUGAAGCCAAAGCCAAGGCCAAGAAAGCAGUGCUGAACAAUCCACAGCCACACAAAAAACGUUUGGUUGUCACCCACCUUCCCAAGUCCCAGAACACUGCAACUCAGAAGGCAGCCCAAAUAUCCUUGGAAGAGAGCCCCUGGGAGAAGCAGUCUUGACCACUCUGCCAUUAUCAAUUUCCCUCACCACCAAGUCAGCCUCGAAGAAGACGGAAGUCAACAACGUGCCUGUAUGCAUUGUGGAGGUCAAGGCCAACAAGCACCAGGCAGAAGAGGCUGUGAAGAAGCCCCAUGACAUUGCCUGGCUAAAGUCGACGCCUUGCUCAGGCCUAAUGGGGAGAAGAGGCAUAUGUUUGACUGGUUCCCAACUAUGAAGCUUUGGAUGUUGCCAACAAAGUUGGAAUCAUCUAAACUGAGUCCAGCUGGCUAAUUCUAAAUAUAAAAUUUCUCAUGGAGGAAAAAAAGGGAUACUAUGAACAAUUCACUCUGAGGACCCGGAGGAGGGACCGGGCAGCAGGGGAACAGUGACAUUUUACAUUUUGAAUUUCGUCCUGUGUGCACGAAUAGUGUGUUUAACCAAUAACUGACAAACACGUGAGCCCAGGCACACGUUGAAGGGAGGAAUCCGUGGUGGCCUAGCAGCUGGGGACUCAGCAUUGUCCCUGCUGUGGCUCCAGUUACUGCUGUGGCUCAGGUUCGGUUCCUGGCCCAGGAACUUCCCCAUCCCACAGGCGUGGCCAAAAAAAAGAAAAAGAAAAGAAUUUAUUAAAAUUGAAACGAUGUGUACUGUAUUUUCCAAAGUUUUUGUGAAAGGCUUGUAUGAUCUUCAUGAUUGGAAUAAAAAAAA